AUCUCACAAUGUAGUUACCAGUGUAGUUCACCAGUUAUCAGUGAGGGCAUGGUAAUUUGGAGUGCUUGACACAAAUGAAGAAUUCUCUUUUAAGCAUCUCUAAAUUUAGCUUUUUCUUUGCAAAGUAGGUAUAAUAAUAUUUAUUCAAUAUUUAUGCCAUGAGUAGUUACUUCACAUACACUUGGUAUCAGGUACUCUUCUAGACAGGGGAAACAGUGGUGAACAAAACAGAUGAAGAUUUCAGCCCUCAUGGAGGUUAAAUUCUUAUGGAGGAAACUAAUAGCAGACAAGGGUUUGGGGCAUCAUCUUUCUGCCAGGCCCUGUGUUGUGUGCUUCACUACAAUAAGACAUGGUUCCAGGCUCAAGAAGCUGAUGCUCUGGGUUGUAUUUUUCAGAGAUUAUUUAAAUUCUCUUUGACUUGGCGAGGCAUAAUAAAAAGGUAACAAUAACA